AGCUAAUAUGGAGUCCCACAGUCUGCAGUACAUGCUGUGUCUUCCUCUGGUUCUAGAGAGAUCACUGUCCUAAGGUUGAAGCUGCCCUUUGGAUGACCUAUGCUUCACAGAGAAGAUCCUCCUUGGCUCAUCAAACGUGCUUGGAAGG